GCUUCAAAAUUUUAUGCAAAAUUUUAAUAACAAAAUCAACAGUUUAAAAAAAAAAUAUUGCGCAGAUUGAUGAUAAAAAAUUGAAAAUUCAGCAAGAUUUUCAACACACCGCAAAAAAGUCGCGUAUGAAAGUCUUUAAAACGCCUUCAGCCAUUAUCCUUUAUCGAAGAUUUUUCGUUUUUCAAAAAAGCAAAUUAUCCCGACAACAACAACGACAACAACUAUAUCAAGGACAAAAAUAGUACUGCCACGAGAAGCAGCACAAAGCGAAAGAAUCACAAGGGCAACUACAGCUAAAACGCUUACAAAGUCAUUGGCCGCUAAGGAGUACCUUCAACUUCGACGAAGAACGAAUACAUAAAUUUGAAGAGAAAAUAUGAGCUGUCUCAACUAUCCAAGCUAUUAUCGCUGUCUCAACCAAGAGAACUACUUUAAUUUUAACCCGCUGGAAACUGAGAUUUGUGCACAACAUUCAAUUAACUGCGCUGGAACCAACUGCAUCUAUAGCAAUGCCAACAAUCCUAUAUUUAAUACCAGCAGCAACGUAGAAAACGCAGAGAACGGCGUGUCUGGCAGCAACAAUAGUUUAAACCUAAACAAUUUCUUACAAUUGCCCUCCUCUGCUUUGCGCACAUUAGAACAAAAUAUUGGUAUUGAGCCCACUAGCAAUUGGUAUAGUUCAUCACAAUAUUUAAACGUAAUGAACAAUAAUAGAAUUAACGGGGACACAGAGGGCGGUGUCAAUCCUACUACAUCCACUACGAAUUCGAUGCAAUCCAUUAAUAGCACCGCUUCACGUGGCUGCCGUGUACGUUCAAGGUUGGGAAAACUAAAUCCAUUAUUUCAUAAAAGGGAUAAAGCUGAAGAUGACAAAUCCUUACCGCCACAUUUACUCAAGCAGGCACGCAAGACCGGCGCUUUACAAUUGAGCGGCAAGGGCUUAACGACAGUGCCUGACAAAAUUUACCAAGUAAACGAAACUGACAAAGAUUUGCCAACCUCAUUGGAUGAACUCACAGUGAAGGAGGAAGAUGCUUGGUGGAAUCAAAUGCCGUUGACAAAUCUGGAUCUUAGCUCAAACGCUCUAACGCAUUUGUCGCCGAAAAUCGAAAAUCUCGAUACUUUGACCACAUUGACACUUCACGACAAUUUACUAACCAGUCUACCACGUUCAAUAUGCCGAUUAGAGAAAUUGGUGCGUGUCAAUUUGAGUCGUAAUAAGUUAAGAGAGCUACCUGUUGAAUUUUACACGUUACCUGAAUUGCGUUAUUUAAAUAUUUCAUACAAUGAGUUUGAAGAAUUGCAUCCCGCUGUCAGCGAUUUGCAUAUGUUGGAAUAUUUGGAUGUUUCACAUAAUUCACUUAGUGGGCUGCCCAAUGGUAUUGGCUUUCUGGUGCGCGUAUCCGAGCUUUUACUCUCUUAUAACCACAUAAAAGAACUGCCCUCUGAUCUGGUGAAUAUACGGUCGCUACAAAAGUUGGACUUAAACCAUAACGACUUGAUAUCUUUGCCCGAGGAUAUGGGCAGCCUACGCAAAUUAUCCUGUUUAUACCUACAGCAUAAUGAUAUAACGCAGCUGCCGAGCUUUGAGGGCUGUCAAUGUCUUCAGGAAUUAUAUGUUGCCAAUAAUUUAAUUGGGAAAUUGCCUGAGAACUUUUGCUCAAACUUGCCACAUUUGAAAAUUCUCGAUUUGCGCGACAACAAAAUUACGAAAAUUCCGGACGAAAUUUCUUUGCUGAAAAAUCUUAUACGCCUCGAUUUGACCAAUAAUUCCAUAGGCAAUCUACCCUUGUCGUUGGCCGCAUUGGCACAUUUGGUUAGUCUGCAAAUAGGCGGCAAUCCCAUAAAAUCCAUCCGACGCGAUAUACUCCAGUGCGGUACAACGCGCAUACUGCGAACGUUGCGCGAACGGGCGCGUGCUGUCGACAAGCAGCAACGUCUUAGUCAAGGCGAUACAGUUUCCCUUGAAUCGUCAUCUUCUACAGCAACUUUUGUACAAAAUAGUUCCGAUAAAAUGGGUGCGGAUGGCUUGAAUAGUCCACGUCGACCGGCUGGCGGUUGUGAUGAAGAUGCGACAUUUCCCGAUAAACAAACUGCAAUGAAUUAUAAUGUAAAUUUGAAUGCAAAUGCGGGUGCGAGUGCGAGUGUGAGUGCGAAUCAACCGAGCGGAACUCAUGAACAAGCCCAAACGAUGCAUUCAAUGCAACAAAUUGCAUUCAAUUAUCAAAGCUAUCAAUAUAUGAAAAUGGAUAUAUCCAAAUAUGUAAAUCCAUAUUGUGCUUAUAAUAAUUGCUACGGUACUUUAACGUCAGCCUAUAAUCCGCAUUAUCCGAUUUAUCAACAACCAAUGCCAUAUCCGCACAACAAUGCUGGCCAAGGCGGCUGCAGUAUUUAUUCCCAGAAUAUGUUUUAACCUCGACUUGACUAUUAAAUAAUUGAAACGUACUUGAAAUUUCAGAUACAAAAUGAGAAACACGCAUACACUGAAUGUGACCAUGCAGUACCUUGCGACGGUGCCUGACGAGGUAUUCCAAACGGCCGCCGAAGAGCACGUCAGCUGUGUGGAUUUCUCCAAGAAUCGUUUAGAAAGGUUGCCCGAUGCACUUCAACUUUUAAAGGGCAGCGCCAGUGAAUUGGUAUUCGCCAACAAUCUUUUAACUACAGCGCCAGCUUUUCUGUCACAAUUCACACGCCUUACUUUACUCAAUUUGUCGUGCAAUCAACUGACCGAUCUACCCAAAGAAAUGAGUGUCCUGAAUACAUUGCGAGAAUUGAAUAUCUGUAACAAUCGCUUCGACCACAUACCGACCUGCCUAUAUCAGACACAAAAUCUGGAAAUACUUUUGGCCAGCGAUAAUCGUAUCAAGCAUAUCGAUGCGACGCCCGACGGUUUGGGCGCUUUGAAGCGGUUGGCUAUUUUAGAUUUGCGCAACAACAAUAUCGAACAAGUGCCACCUGUACUUGGCAAUCUGACGCACAUUGGAACACUGGAACUGAUCGGUAACCCCUUCCGACAGCCUCGCCAUCAAAUACUUACCAAGGGCACCGAAGCCAUCAUGUCGUACCUGCGUGAUCGUAUACCAGUUUAGUACGAGCCGGAUAAACACAUCUUUUAUUUUAGUACAUUAGCGUGGAAUUUAAAAUUUGUUUGGAAACAAAAUGGCAAAUGUGAAUGUUGAUAGGCGGCGAAAAUAUUCAAAUUUUGCUUAUUUUAUAUUUAAUCACUCCUAACCUCCAACAAGCCAUGCGCGUGAGUACGCAGAAACGCAGGUUUAAUGGCGGUUAGACUGAUUUAGUUUUAGAAUUUUAUUUGUGAAACAAUUGACGCAAUAUUUUUUGAUCCAUUUAUAUAUACUAUAUAAUGUACGCUAAACCAAAAAAAAAAAAGAAAAUAUAAAUAUUUGAUCGAUUUGCAAAUAUGGUUCCUUUCGUCUCUUCAACAGGGGCAAUUGGACCAAUAUUUAUUUUUUUUUAGCAUUUACUAACUAACACUACACUAGUCAUUAUGUACAACAUGUAAAAUCA